rnacentral:rRNA from 1 species
AUUGAACGCUGGCGGUAUGCCUUACACAUGCAAGUCGAACGGUAGAGGGGCAACCCUCGAGAGUGGCGAACGGGUGAGUAAUACAUCGGAACGUGCCCAGUCGUGGGGGAUAACGUAGCGAAAGCUACGCUAAUACCGCAUACGACCCGAGGGUGAAAGCGGGGGACCUGCAAGGGCCUCGCGCGAUUGGAGCGGCCGAUGGCAGAUUAGGUAGUUGGUGGGGUAAAGGCCCACCAAGCCUGCGAUCUGUAGCUGGUCUGAGAGGACGACCAGCCACACUGGGAAUGAGACGGCCCAGACUCCUACGGGAGGCAGCAGUGGGGAAUUUUGGACAAUGGGCGAAAGCCUGAACCAGCCAUACCGCGUGCGGGAAGAAGGCCUUCGGGUUGUAAACCGCUUUUGUCAGGGAAGAAAUCUUCCGGGUUAAUACCUCGGGGGGAUGACGGUACCUGAAGAAUAAGCACCGGCUAACUACGCGCCAGCCGCCGCCGUAAGAC